rnacentral:rRNA from 1 species
CCCAGACUCCUACGGGAGGCAGCAGUGAGGAAUAUUGGUCAAUGGGCGAGAGCCUGAACCAGCCAAGUCGCGUGAGGGAGUACUGCCCUAUGGGUUGUAAACCUCUUUUGUCGGGGAGCAAAAGCCGGACGUGUCCGGCUGUGAGAGUACCCGAAGAAAAAGCAUCGGCUAACUCCGUGCCAGCAGCCGCGGUAAUACGGAGGAUGCGAGCGUUAUCCGGAUUUAUUGGGUUUAAAGGGUGCGCAGGCGGAUUUUUAAGUCGGCGGUCAAAUCGUGGGACUCAACCCCAUCCAGCCGUUGAAAUUGGGGAUCUAGAGUGUGCGAGAGGUAUGCGGAAUGCGUGGUGUAGCGGUGAAAUGCAUAGAUAUCACGCAGAACCCCGAUUGCGAGGGCAGCAUACCGGUGCACAACUGACGCUCAGGCACGAAAGCGUGGGUAUCGAACAGGAUUAGAUACCCCCGUA